UUUACAGUUUUGUUCCGUGUAAUUGCUUCAACGUCAUUAUGGUGUCAAGGUCGAUUAUACUAUUAAUAAGGUGCGCCCCCUGCUGGUGAAAGACAUUACUGCUUUGCUAGGGACGUGCCAUCGUAAACGUGUGUGUUUAUAGUGGUUGUGAGCUAUCAAGCCAGAGUCCACUGUGCUUUUUACUGUUGGCAUUUAUUUUCCUUCAACUGUCAUUAUAUGAAACCUCCAAAUCUGGAUCGUGGCGGUAGCAACGGGAAGAAGAUAGAAUAAUUAUCUUGGUCUUCUCGUGGCAAACUUGUCCAAUCAAAGAACAAAAUGUUCUCAAUUUACAUCUAUUCUACAGCACGCAGUCGAGGCGGUUGCGCCUUCACUGCCCUUGCAGGAGGACUUUGUGUAUCACUGGAAGGCCAUCACACAUUACUACAUAGAGACAUCGGAUGACAAAGACCCAGUGACAGACACCAACAUCCCGUCUCAUCUGGAGCUGAUGCUGAACAUCCUGACGCAGGAGGAGUCAGAGAGAGAGUCUGGAGAGACUGGGCCAUGCAUGGAGUACCUGCUGCACCACAAGAUCCUAGAGACCAUCUACACCCUGGGAAAGGCAGAUUGUCCUCCGGGAAUGAAGCAACAGGUCCUGAGUUUCUACACCAAGCUGCUAGGAUGCAUUCGCCAGCCUCUUCUGCCCCACAUCAAUGUCCAUAGACCUGUACUGCUUCUUUCUAUGGUGCUACCCAUUCCAGGGUUAGGACCGUAACCACCAGAGGACUUGAAAAUGAGCCGGAGCUGAGAGGAUCACCAAAACUAAAAGUAUUUUGGUUUCAGUGCAAUUUCUUUAAAAAAAAAAGAUCAAUGUGUAGCCAUACUGUGUAAUAAAAUUGAUAAUUAAAUAAAGGUGAAAUAAAAAAUUAUUGCGUACUAAAAACGUGAAUGUGUUUUUGCAGAUCAUACAACCAACCAUCCGUGGAGAUCAGUGGACAAAGGGCUGGACAAUGGGCCGCACCGAAAAAACGCAUGGUUCCCAUAAAAAGCUGUUCGUUUUGCUGGAUUCUUAAAAUGUGUUUCUGUACGCAGCAUUUGUGUGUUGGAGUCACUUUUAAUUCUUAGUUGAUCUACCGUUUCUAUCAUAGGCCACUAAUCGAUGGUGGCUCAGGGCGGUACCAUUCUGCUCAUCUGAUGAAGGUGCACAUGGAUCAGAUUCAAACUUUGAAGACCGAGAUCGAGUCAUUGAAGGCAGACCAGCAGAAAGAUAAACAUUAUCUGAGGGCAGAGAUACGAGGGACAGCUGAUGCAUUGGUCCAGAGCCAGGCAGUAUUGGCAGAGUGUCACUCGUCAUUGACAGAGAGUCAGGCGGCAUUGGCGGAGAGUCAGGCGGAGAAUGACGCGUUGAAGAGGGCGAGGAAGGAGAUGGAGUCACAAUCCAUACCAGGCACACCUGUGAGCUCUGGAACUCCACCUCCUACAGGCACAGUCAACAUAUGUGGCAACAUAUGUGACAUUUCCAUUUUCCUUCUGACAACAGAACUGGACCAACUGCUCACCAGGCACAGCGAGGGCUGUCCGGAUCGUUACGCUGUUCUGCUAUUCCAAAGAUGUUUAACCGAAGAGAGAUACCACGAGUGGACACAGAAUACGAACUGCAAAUGUGGCUCUGGGUGUUCGUCAUUAAAACUGUCUCCAGAAGUUUCUGUCCGUGACUGAUGCAACCUGAAAAAGCAUUCAAGAAAGAGUUCAUGAGUACUUGAAGUCACCGAGAAAGUCUAGACAUGGCCUGCUCUCCCUUAUCAUCGACCACAUGACCCUGCUGGAGGGGGUGAUCCUACUGGAGGAGUUCUGCAAGGAGCUGGCUGCCAUUGUCUUUGUCCAGUUCCACACAUCUGCCUCCAGCUCACCCUAACCCAGCUGCCAAGACCAGGCAGGCAAGCCAAGACUGGACCCUCGGGGGGGAAUUGGAUGGCAAAGAACAGGAUCAACAAACCACUGGUUACUUACCCACUGGUCAUCCCUAUAUAGGUUUUGCCCCAAGGACAUACUGUAAGCAGGACACGUUUCAUCAAAUGUCUCGGGGCUCCACUACAGAGAAAGUAUUUUGCCCCUGCUCUACCCAGUACAGUACAGAACAGUAUGACUGGCUACCGGGGAAGGCACUAGAGUCUUCUUCUCAGGGUGAGGAAGUGGAUGGAUGCGGAAGAGAGGGGAAAACCUCUGGACGGUUUGACCUGGGCUAGGCAGGGCCUGCGGAGUCCCUUCAUGCUCUCUCUCCGUCAUUAUCUUUCUCGCCAGCCAAAACAAGAUGGUAGCCCCUUCACUAUGUGUGUCGAGAGAAGAGGUUUAUUGUGUAUUUGUGCGUGUAUCUAUUUCUGGAUUUCAGAAUGCCUUAGUGUUGGAUUAUUACGACUGUUCAGUUAGUUACUUUUAGGGGAUUGUUUCCUAUUGAAACAUGUUAUCUUUAGCCCACAUGUCUAAUAUAUUCCUAUUCUGUCAGAUUAUCAAUGUCUCAAAAAGUCUGGGUGAAAUAUAGACAAAUUAGCCCUUCUGUUGUUUACCAAAAUCAGGUAAUUUACUCAAUUUGUUUGAAAACAAUUAAAAAGUAUUUAUUUAACUUCAUUUUGUGAUGGAGAAGUUUAACUGUAGUAUCUGAGAUACUGGUGUGGCAGAAAUGGCCCCCAUAUUUAUUCUCACCAUUUUGCUUUCAGGUUGCCUUUUUAACUGAUACAUAUUUGUAUUGUUUGUAUUGAGAGAAAAAAAAAGUUUUUAAACCAAGUAACUAUAAUUACAAUUAUGGAAUUAGGAGAGACAAGGAGAGACAAGGAGCUCAUAAUGCUUUGUUUGCAACAAAUCCAUCAACUUUUGAAUUAUCUGUUACUGGUAAACUUCACUGUUGAGAUGUGCUAGUGUUACCAUUGCUGAGGCUACCUACUGAACUAUGUUAGUUGUGCAUAUUUCUUAUUGCUUGCACCCUCAACCUCACUAGCAAUGGGGUAACGUUAGAUUAAUGUGGCUUCACAUUUUGUACAAUGUGGAUCCUGAAAUUACAAAUUCUGUGGAUUUGUAUAUAGAUAGAUGGAUUGAUAGAUAGUGUGCGUACAUACAUACAUUCUGUUGAAGUCGAAACUUUAAAUACACUUAGGUUGGAGUCAUUAAAACUCGUUUUUCAACCACUCCACCAAUUUGUUGUUAAACUAUAGUUUUGGCAAGUCGGUUAGGACAUAUUUCUACUUUGCAUGACACAAGUACUUUUUUCCAACAAUUGUUUACAGAUAGAUUAUUUCACUUACUGGACCACUGUAUCACAAUUGCAGUGGGUCAGAAGUUUACAUACACUAAGUUGACUGUGCCUUUAAACAGCUUGGAAAAUUCCAGAAAAUGUCAUUGCUUUAGAAGCUUCUGAAAGGCUAAUUGACACCAUUUGAGUCAAUUGGAGGUGUACCUGUGGAUGUAUUUCAAGGCCUACUUUCAAACUCAGUGCCUCUUUGCUUGACAUCAUGGGAAAAUCUAAAGAAAUCAGCCAAGAUCUCAGAAAACAAUAGUAGACCUAUUAUAUAUAUAUAUAUAUAUAUAUAUACAUAUAUAUACACAUAUAUAUAUAUAUAUACAUAUAUAUACACAUAUAUAUAUAAACAUAUAUAUAUAUAAACAUAUACAAACAUAUAUAUACACACAUAUAUAUAUAUAUACAUAUACAGUGCCUUGCGAAAGUAUUCGGCCCCCUUGAACUUUGCGACCUUUUGCCACAUUUCAGGCUUCAAACAUAAAGAUAUAAAACUGUAUUUUUUUGUGAAGAAUCAACAACAAGUGGGACACAAUCAUGAAGUGGAACGACAUUUAUUGGAUAUUUCAAACUUUUUUAACAAAUCAAAAACUGAAAAAUUGGGCGUGCAAAAUUAUUUGUGUAUAUAUAGUGUAGCAAUGACCUUUCUAUUUUAAUAGAAGAAAAAAUUGUCUUAAUCAUGCACAUUUGUUUGUCAACAUUUCCAACUUUUCUGGACCUGCUGCUGGGUAUAAAUGCAUGCAUAUCAUUUAUAGUAAUGAGGAAAGCAGCCUCUUUCCUAGCAUAGUCCCAGAUCAGUUUGUGUGGUCUGGCCAACUCCUACGGCCAUUGACCAAAUUACCAUAGGAAUUGGGAAGACGGGCUAAACAGAUCUGGAACCAGGCUCUCUUCCCAUCCAUAAUGAUUUCUUUAGCUGUCAGCACUGCUCCUCUUCUGAAGACACUGACAGGGAAAUAAAACAAUGCCUUACUUCACACUGUGGUUCUCAAUGACAACAUUUAAAAAUAGACCAUUGUUUCCCUGCUUGGGUUUGUUUGUUACACAGGAUGCACUCUCUUUUGUGUUUGAUUUGUGAAUGUAUACAGGACUGUUGUCUGGGCAAGAUUCUAGCAGUAUUAUUAUCUCUUAUUAUUAAAUCUAUUAUUAUUAUUAUUAAAUCUUAUUAUUAAAUCUGAUGCCAACUUAUUUUGUUUCCUUUCCUGUUAUGUAUCACCUUAGACCUUAAAAAACAUCAUACCCCAUUCCACUCCAUGUUAAGCAGCAAUGGAGUUAACGAUUAAAUGCAGCAAAGAUUUACUGUAUAUCUUUGAUAAAUAAAUAUUUUCUGCAUUUAAGCUUUAAAACCUCCAUGGAGGGAAAUGGGGUAUGAUGUUUUUUAAAUUGGUUUGAUGACAAGUAUGAUUUCUUCAGUGAUUAGUGCAAUGCUAUUUAAAUGUAAGAAAUUGCAUGCUCAUUCCUCAUCAUGCCUCUCGAUGCCUAUGAUCAGUGUCGAAAGUGACUAUCUCUGAUGGGUGGGUUAUUUUCUACAGUUUCUCUCAUGCACAUCACAUCUUUUUCUCGCAUCUGCCAUUUCUGCUUUAUGCCUGCUACUUUUCGGUGUGUAUUAUAAAUCAUACAGGACAUUAUGGCUAACAUUUUCCGUCCCCAAUAAAGAGCGCUUUCAUCAA